UCAGGAUGCCAAGACCUUCUCUUCUCACUUUGAUAUUGGGUAAAUUAAAUUUUUAAUUAUUGCACUUUUUAUUGUUCAUGAUAGAUGGAAAUUAAAGAUUACAAUAUAAUAAGAAUAGUCUUCCUAUAGAAUCGCAUAUCUCAAUGUUGAUAUCAUAUUAAUAUUUCGUCCUUAAAACAGUUUAGUUAAAGAUUAUGAACCGAAUGAUUGAUUGUGCAAUCUUGAGCUUUUCCUUUUUUUCUGAAACUGAACUUAAAAGUAUUUGCUAAUACCAGAAAAUAACUUAUCUUUUCUGUUAUUAGCAAUGUUAGUUUUGGUAUUAGUUCUCCUCAUAAAUACUGAUACUGAUGAAGUACAAAUUGAUGUAUCUGUAUUUUUGGCUGAUUUUGAAAAGUAAUUCACCAACAAGUUGACUGCUCUAAGCAAUUGUUCUUUUCAAUUUUAUUUUCUUUAUGAAAAUGAUCUGUUCAACUAUAAUGAUAUAAAUAGUUCUAACAAUAAAAUAUUUAUAUAAUUCCUCACACAAUCAACAAAUCAGUAGUCAUUAUACAUCUUAAUUCUUUCCUGUGUGUCAAGUCUGUGUGUAAGCUUGUUAAGAUUACUUAAGAUUACUUUUUAAGGUUAAUUAAAUAAAAACAACUAGCACGUGUUACAGACAGCUGAGACUGAUAAAGGCAUAGUGAAAUAAAUAACAUUAUCUACAGUAUUUAAUUCUCUUAUUGAAGAUGAGAAAAUAAAGGGAAAUCCAAAUAUACACCUGUUUAUAAUGUGAGAAUGAUUUAUAUAAUGUAAAAAUAUUUUGGUUCCCUGCAUUUUGGUUAGUCAUGCUGAAACAUCUUAUUAACAAAAAUUUAAUGUACUUUGAAUCCCAAUAUGAAGAAAUUAUGCAAGAAGUGCUCCAUAAUAGCCAAAAUGAAGAGAACGCUGAUGAUGACUAUGAGCUUGUAAAUAUGGAUGAUGGUGGUCAUAAAGAUAUAAACUAUGUAGAUCAGUUUGAUUCUAAACCGGAUGAUGACAGUGUGGAAACAGACAAUUCAGAACAGUGUCAAUCUUGAUACUACAGAUCACAGAAGUACGCUGGACUAUAAAGCUAUUUAAUUAUUAUGAUAAAUUAACCCACUAAGCAGUUUUCACUAUUAUUGUAGACUGUCACCUGCCUUCUAUCAUGACUGCACACCAGUUUAUAGCUAAAAGUGCCACAGUACCUACAUUUAUUUUAAGUUUAAACAAACAGCUUAACGUCUUCUUGCACUCUGUAGAUGAGCGGUUUCAUCUUUGCUUCAACAAAAUGACACUUCCUCAAAACUAUCUCACAGCUUUAUCCGCACUAGCAUGUUCUUAAAAAAAAAAAAAAAAAACUAUUCUCAGAAGAAGCAAUACCACAAAUUCAGCAUUUCACACUUAACUGCAUUUCCAUACAGUUUCACUUCUGUUGCAGAAUUCAUUUGAGUUUUUUUUCUUUUCUUUUUUUCAUUUUGUCAUUUGUAACAAGAUAUUUCUUUUAUUUAUUUAUUUUACAGCAAUUAAGAGCUGUUUAAUGUAAAUUCUAGCAGCAGUGCUAAACCCUGCUCCCUUCCUGAAUACUUCAGUUCCAACUUUUCUCCAACACUUUCUCCAACACUUUUCUUUGUUGUCUGGCUACUAGUAUGUGAACACUGUAUGUAAACACAUGUGUAGCCAAGGCAAUGACUGUUAUCAGCACCAGAGCCGUUGAGAAAUAGAGUUGCAACACUUUCAUAGGCUUCCAUAUGAACUGAGGAAUGUGGAAGUAAAGCGUGUCAUGGAGGACCCAAUAGUUUCAAACAACCAAUAGUUCCAGCAUUGAAGCCCAUUCAUUGCUUCUAAAGCACACUCACUGGUAAAUUGAAGAAUUUACUGAAUUUUUUGACAUUUUAAUGCAUUAGUUGACCUCUCAUAAUCUGGCCAGUAGUGGUAUUUUCUGAAGCGCAUUAUAGUUGAUGUUUAUCAUUAGAUAAUAGACAGUUAUACUAUAAUUGCAGUUAGAUAAUGACACAAAUAUUUUAAUAGCAACCAUAACCAGAUGCUAGUUGUCAUAUUUUUAAGUUUUUAGUCUUUCUGCAAUCUUUUUCUCCUUGUAUGAGGUUGAAUAAGUUUCAGUAAAGAACAUUUAAGGAAUAACUAUAAUAAAGAUUUUAACUGAAUGCAAUUGGUUGCCUUGGGUUUCUAAACAUUAUUUUACAUUUUUUCAUUACUUAAAUUACGCAAUUGCUUGCCUUUUGUAAUAUUCACUUAUUUUGUAUGGUUAGGCUAUGUGAAUAUCAUUAAAUAACACUAUGAUGCAACAAUGCAACACAUUUGCACAAAUUUAACAGGCUCUUUAAAUAUGCUUAAUUCUUUGUUAAUGUUUUUCAAAGAUUCGAUUUCGCUAAUCGUGGAUUCUGAAUGCAUUGCCACAGAUUUCGCCUUUGCUUUGCAGUUUUUUGAUUGGUGUUUUGACACAAACCUCUCGUGGGGGCGGGGUUAACAGUGAUCUACUCUGAUUGGAUACUGACCUUUUGAUGGACAUGUGCUCUCUGAUCGGGAACUACAAACGUCACUCAGUGGCGCCAGAGAGUGGUGUGCAUAUUGGAAAGAUCUUGCGGUGAUUUUCAUUACUAAAUAUGUAAAUAAUAUUUGUUCUUCGAUCAUCUCAGUCUGUAAAGAUGAGCUCUUGUCCUUCAAGGCAGCUUUAAGUAAGCUUGUGUUACUGAAUGACAGAAAUAACAGCAACAAACUGUAGCACACUGUAACAUGAAAAACUUGUAUCAAUGGUAUUGGUUACUUCAGUAACACAAGCUUACUUCAAGCUGCCUUGAAGGACAAGCUGAAGAGGAAGACGAUGCCGCUCCGUGUCUCCUGCAGGGGCGGAGCUAAGGGGUAGCCAGGGGUGGCCAUGGCCACCAUGGAAAUAAUCACGGCCACCCCACUGGCCACCCCGAUCAUAAUUGCGAUCUAUUAUAGAUAAAUAAUAAUAGUUUCUUAGAUUUUGAUCAAAAUGACCUCGAUCAAUCAUGGCAAAACGAUUACAUUCGGACUGUUGAAUCACUUGUCACUUACAGGCAAAUGCGCUAUCGCAAGAGUUACCAUAGUGCACGUUUCUUUCCAGCAUUUGUAAAAAAUCGAGGACUGAGAGAGACGAGGAGUGAAGCUUCACUUUUGUGCCUGGUUCAACUUGUGUUUGAGCACAAAAACACAUCUUUUCAGACAGUAAAAGAAAUGAACACUGCGACCCUGUUGGAUUCAACGGAGAAAAAUGAAGUCAAUUAGAAGCAUGCAUUUCCUGGGGGUCGGGCGUACUGCGCAGACUCAAACUGAGCUUGAUGAAGUAGAUGUCAUGUGAAUCUGAAUCACCCACCGAAUCUUGCAGAGAAGGCGACCAUGAACAGGAGCAAAUUUUGGUAAGUAUUGUGAUUAAUUAUCUCCCUUGACUUUAUGCCUCCACGUCCCUCCGAUAGCCUCAUAGAAAGUAAAAGAUAGCCUGCGAGCUUCUCCUCCUGUCCAUAUGGUAAUUUCUCUACUGUUCAACAGAUGGUGCGUUCAAGUAAUCUCGUAUAGAUUGUAUUUACGAGUUCGUAAAUACAAUAUAAUGUAAAUACAAUUUACAAUAUCGUAAAUACCAGUGGGGAGCUGGGGAUUUUCUUUAAGCCCCGAUCUGUAUGAGUUGGGGGCGUGUCAUUGAUUAACAUGGCAGAAUAUACAAUACUUAAAGGUAUUUUAAUUGUGAUAUUGUCAGGCUUUUCUAUUUACAGCGCAGUAAGUUAAUCGACGACCCAUAAUAUGAUGGCAUUAUAAUAUAACAAUGCAAAUUGUAACAAUAAAGUUGGCAGCGGCUUCAUAAAAUAAUUUAAAACAUUAAAAAACGAAGUAUACCUAAUACACAUUUCUUUGUUCUUCAUUUUCUACAACAAGAGUUUAAGAACAUUGCUGUAUUUUUUUGUUUUUAAUUAAGGGGGGGGGUGAAAUGCUCGUUUUCACUCAAUAUCCUGUUUAUCUUGAGUACCUAUAGAGUAGUAAUGCAUCUUUCAUAACUCCAAAAAGUCUUUAGUUUUAUUAUAUUCAUAAGAGAAAGAUAGUCUGUACCGAUUUUUCCCGGAAAAACACGAGGCGUGACGUGUGGGCGGAGCUAAAGAAUCACGAGCGCCAGUAGGCUUUUGCGUUGAGAGCGUUUGGAAGCUGUGACAUUACCGUGAGGGAAAAAACAUCAUUCAAAACAAACCAUGGCUAACAGUCAGAUUCAGCCGUUUAUUUAUGAUCCAGAAUCAGAUCCCGAGGCUGAAACUGAACGAGAGCAGCAGCAGCAACGACUCACUCCGAGCGGGGCUCGAACCCGGGUCUCCGAUGGGAGGCGGACACACUAACAAGGAGGCAGAGAUAUUUUAAGCAGUUUUACUCACCGCCUGCGGUUCCAACACACGAUCGUGAGCCUUUUUCGUUGGGAUUGCAUUAUCCUUAAGAAAUCUGUCGUCAAACUGGCCCUUGUUUGUAAAACAAGCAUCUUCGAAAUGCAGGGAACAAACACUUGCACAACUCCGUUGAUGCUCUGUAAAAAUAAACUCCAUCCACUGGUCCCUUAAUGCUGUUUUUUCUUUGGUAAUCUGUGCAGGUUUUCUUGCCCUGGCAACCAAAAACACUCCUCCUUUUGUGACAUUUCGCGACGCUCUCGCUCUGAUCAGUGAUUGUCUGUGCACAGCCAUAGACAGUGCACAGCCUCUCUCUGCUCUGCUAUAUGGGAGCACGCACUCUUCCGGGAGAAGUGCCCUCAGGACCCAUAUAAGGAAAUUCCGCUCCAUCUAACGUCACACAGAGCCAUACUCGAAAAAAACUUUCCGAAACUUGUGACAAACCGGAAGGAGUAUUUUUGGAACAGAAAUACUCCGUCAAACGUACAACUUAAUUUUUGAAACUUUGUCCAUGUUUACCAUGGGAAUCCAACUCUUUAACAGUGUAAAAAACUCAGUAUUUGACUCAGAAAUAGCAUUUCACCCCCCCUUUAAGAGAAAGUACUCCACCAUCUUGCUCCCACCAAAGUGACUUGAACGCACAUGCAGUCAUAAGCACGACUUCCCACCUCGUGCGUACGAACUUCCCAGGAGGACUUGAACGCACCAAGAGAGUCGCUGGUUAUGACGCAAUCGUUAGCCUAUUUUUUACAAAAAACGCUUGUACGGGGCCAUAACGUACAGGUAAGAUACUAGGUAAUCGAGCCAUUUAUACAUUUUCGUGUUUCUUUAGAAAUAAUCAAUGGACAAAUGGAGUCCAAUAUCAAUAUCCAAUCAGAGUAGAUCACUGUUAACCCCCGCCCCCACGAGAGGUUAGAAUCAAAGCAUCAAACGAAAAACUGCAAAGCGAAAGCGAAAUCUGUGGCAAUGCAUUCAGAAUCCACGAAAACGAAUCUUUGAAAAAACAUUAACAAAGAUUGAAGCAUAUUGAAGUCCCUGUUAAAUUUGAGGGACUUUGUAGAAAAUGACACAUUUGAGAGAGGCCGUGCUCAGAGGACCUACAAUUAUGUACGGUAUUUGAAAAAUAAUUUUUAAUUUAGUUUUUUUAACAUUAAAGCAAGUCAACAUAUUCUGUUACACCAAAUACAUUAAAUAAUGCAUGAAAUAGCAUUUCACCCCCCCUUUAAGAGAAAGUACUCCACCAUCUUGCUCCCACCAAAGUGACUUGAACGCACAUGCAGUCAUAAGCACGACUUCCCACCUCGUGCGUACGAACUUCCCAGGAGGACUUGAACGCACCAAGAGAGUCGCUGGUUAUGACGCAAUCGUUAGCCUAUUUUUUACAAAAAACACUUGUACGGGGCCAUAACGUACAGGUAAGAUACAAGGUAAUCGAGCCAUUUAUACAUUUUCGUGUUUCUUUAGAAAUAAUCAAUGGACAAAUGGAGUCCAAUAUCAAUAUCCAAUCAGAGUAGAUCACUGUUAACCCCCGCCCCCACGAGAGGUUAGAAUCAAAGCAUCAAACGAAAAACUGCAAAGCAAAAGCGAAAUCUGUGGCAAUGCAUUCAGAAUCCACGAAAACGAAUCUUUGAAAAAACAUUAACAAAGAUUGAAGCAUAUUGAAGUCCCUGUUAAAUUUGAGGGACUUUGUAGAAAAUGACACAUUUGAGAGAGGCCGUGCUCAGAGGACCUACAAUUAUGUACGGUAUUUGAAAAAUAAUUUUUAAUUUAGUUUUUUUAACAUUAAAGCAAGUCAACAUAUUCUGUUACACCAAAUACAUUAAAUAAUGAUCUUUAAAAAACAUCAUAUUACCCCCUUUAAUAAUUCUCUAGUGGCCCGUAUAGUGGAAAAACAUGAGAAGAAAUGUAUUUUCGCAUUAAAUGGGUUAUUUUUGAAAACUGGUGCAUGAAAUAAAGCUGCUCUUAAUUUUAAUUUAUGACUGCAGUGUUAAUAAUUUUAAUAAUAAGCCUAUAAUUCCUUGUAUAAAUGAAUAGGGCAUGUUUAAAAAAAUAAUAAUAAUGUAAUACAUUUUCAGCACUGCACAUCAUGGAAAUACUUGAGUAAAAGCCUGUCAUACUUUCUUAUUGAUAUAUUAAAAAUAUUUUUAACAUUGAAAAAACAAGUAAAAUUAAGCUCCACUGAAGUGCCUUGAAACAACGUGCAGCGUUGUUCUUUGUGGUGUGUGCUGCGGCUGCCUAAUCAUUUUAACAAAUACAUGCUGUAAAAUGAAAUGAAAACAUGAAAAUAUGUAUAUAAACAUGUAUAUAAAAUACCAAAAAAACAUAGUUAUAUUUUACUAUAGUUAAACCAUGGUAAAAAAAGCAUUGUGUUUUGCUACACUAACCAUAGUUUAACCAAGGUAGGCUAUUUGUAGUAAAACUGUGGUUAUAGGCUACAAUUGGUAAUAAAAAAUGCCAAAAAAAUCUAUAGUUAAUACCAUUGCUAAUUUUCAUAAGGGAUUGUGUAUAAUAAUCUGAAAUAAAUGUUUUAAUAGAUCAUGACAUCACAAAAUAUCAGGGAGUGAGAUUUAUUUGAUUGUGUUGUGAAGGAGGGUUACCAUAAGCCAUGCAGAAUCUAUCAGUGUGACAGUAAAAAUCUUGCCUAUCAUCGUUUUCCCUAAUACCUGAAAGGUAAUUGUUCAUAUAAGUGUAAAAGUAUUGUUGGACAUAGUGCUAUCUUAUGCACCUGCUAACUUUAACUCUUUUUAGUUUAGUAAUAAACUUAAAUCCUUUUAGGAACUGCAGGUCCUAGCCGUAGAAACCAUUAAUAAUGAUUUAUAUGGAUAUUACACUAUAAGUUUUAAUGAGUUUAUGCAACUUUACACAUUUACUAUUACUAUACAGUAUUUAGCUAAUUUCUAUUACUCCACUUACAUUAGGUCUGAAAUAUAUAUUCUAAGUUACGUUUUAAUCCCCUUGAACACACUACAAAUGAUCUACAUGAUGCAUUGCUCUGUCUGUCAUAAUGAAAUAAUUCUGGAGAAACUGCCUGUGUGUGUGUGUGUGUGUGUGUGUGUGUGUGUUUACAUAAAGUCUAAUGUUUACAGUCCUUUAGCAGGCAUCAAAAAACAGUUAGCUGUUAUAUGUUAUAUAUUGUCAAACAUUCAUAGUUUUUCUGUCCUUCAUUUAAUUUCAUAUGUUGGUAUUAAUUCAGUGUAUUUAUUAUGCUAAAACUUAAAAUAAUUUCAACCAAAACUGACAUGGUUUCUAGGGAGCAAUGUUUUUGUCAAAUAUAGGGAAAACGUAAAGGUCCCAUAUUGUCAAAGUUGGAUUUCCUGGCUUUUUUCAUGAUAACUGAGGUAUAGGGGCUAUUUAACUACCAUAUGAAUUUCAAAACAGUCAGUCCACAGUAAAAUGCACACAGCCUGCUUAAAGUAGCUGUGAUUUUUCAUGAACCAUUGUGACUUCCAUAAAAAGUUGACGUCAGAACUACACACACAGUCCCCUCUUUCAAUCACUAACCCCGAGCACCACCCACCGUCCCACUCUCCUUCUGUCAAACCCCCAGACAGCAUUUUGUCUGUGCCAUUGCUGUGCAUUGAGCAACAACAGCACUGAAACAUGUCGGAAAGAUGAACAUUAACCACGAAACCAGAUCCGCUGACCUGUAAUGUUACACUCUCACUCAAAGGAUGGACGAUCUGACAGGAUUGUUACUAUGAGGAGAAUCACAUCUUACUUGUACAGUAAAUACAAACUCAUCUCGUCUAUCUAGAAAGUCAUGUUGAAGACGUAUAAACAUUUACAUUACAGCAGGCAACUAUUUUUAUAGCUAUAUUAAUGUGCCAGUCACAAUAAAUCACAACAAUGUUUACAUAAUUACAAAUUAUUAUAUAUAAAUCGUCAGUUUGAUGUUUUAAACACAUGCACAGACAUUUUUUCGUAAAUGACAUAAUGAGAUGCAAGAAACAUAUGGCAAGAAAUCUGUAGAUUCGUCCAUAACAACAAAAGACAAUACUUUAUUGAACCUUUCUGCAAACACAAGCAUUUUUGAUGAUCGUUUCUGUGCAGUCCGCUUGUUUAAUCACAUUCAACCAUAGCUGUCAUCAGUUCGUUUGUCUGGCAGUGGCAGCA